AGCUUUUGACUGAACACAGCCUGGACAGCUGUACAAACUGGUUUGCACUAAUCGCCACCGUCGACUUGAAAGCUUUCUGCCAGUGAACAUACAAGAUGCCAGAUCAUCCUCCCACGUUUACUUCAGAUCACCGUAGUUUGCAGUACUGAGAGAAAACUUGUGCCACUUCUUGUUUCCAGAGACCCAGAGACCAGAUGUGCUCUCUUUUGGGGUGUGCACUCACAGCUAGCAGAGCUUAAACAGCCAGAACUCAGCAAUGCUUUAUAGCACCGGGCCAUGUUUGUCAUAGAAACACAGAAUGGCUUGGGUUGGAAGGGACCCAAGGAUUGCCAAGUUCCAACCCCCUGCCACAUGCAGGGCCACCAACCUCCAUAUCUAAUGCUAGACCAGGCUGCCCAGGGCCUCAUCCAACCUGGCCUUGGACACCUCCAGGGAUGGGGCAUCCACAGCCUCUCUGGGCAGCCUGUGCCAGCACCUCACCACUCUCUGUGUGAUAAACUCUCCCCUGACAUCCAAUCUGGACCUCCCCUCCUUGAGCUUAAAACCAUUCCUUGUUCUGAGAGCCAUUAAUGGAGUGCUGAGCAAGCCCAGGACAAGUUGGACAGCAGCUCCACAACACCAAUGUUGUGGAGACACUUUCCACAGCGCUUCAGACUUGAACAAGCACCCCUACAUCUGUCCUUUGUUCUUGUUGUCUGUGCUGAGCUGCUGUUAGCUCUGUGACAGCUACACGUCACACGUGCUUUUCUAAAAUUAGAAGUUUGCUCAUUUUUUUCUUAUCAUCUACAAAUAAUCAGAAUGCAAUUGCUCAGCAUUCCACAGCUGCUCACUUGCCCCCACUUUAAGCAGCAGGCAGUGCCAGGCAGUGAGCUCCUCACCUCCCACAUGCAAACCUCUGCCUGCAGAACACAUUUGGCUUUGGGAUGUGCACACAAUAAGGACCAUGCUGAGCCCCUGCCAGGAGGGAACACGGUGGCUGCAGCAUCUGCUGCUUUUCAAGGUGGGACAUUGGGCACUGAUGCCCCCCGAGCAGUUUGCUCUUAUAAAGCUUUCCCUGCAAACAGCUGGCAGCUCAUUUUGCAGGAAGGCAUCUUUCUUUUCAAGGCAGAGAGAUUUUGAGGACAGAGUCAAGUGGUUAUGGCCGGAUGCUGAACUGGGGUAAAUCAAAAGGAAAAGACCCAAAGAUGAGCUUUUGGCUAUCAGCAAAACACAAAAUAAAAUAUUGAAAAACUGCAUUAAACUCCUUACAUCAAACU
rnacentral:lncRNA from 7 species